rnacentral:lncRNA from 1 species
CACUAUUUUGAAAUCCCAUUUUCAUUUUUCUAUACCCAGACUUCUUUGUGCAUCAGUCGCAUAAGAGACUAUUCUUCUAUGAAUUAGCACCUUCUGACUUUUUCGAUUCCAGUCUCCCUAUUUUUGAGUUCAUCGGAUCUAUCCUCCAUUGUUGCAUUCAGACUCAUCGCUAACAUUUCAUCCACCAUUUGUACUGAUUCUUUCACGAUUUACCAAGUCUUGCACUGCACACGGUACCUCCUCUAUCCAGUAUUGAGGACCGUCGAACUUCUUUCCUUCAAUCGCUAUUUCAUGCGCCACCGUAUUUGCUUCUUUUUGUACAUAUUGAAACUGUAUGCUACUAAAUCUGUAGGAUUUCUCCUUGAUUACAUGAAUAAUGCUUUUAAUACUUCUGUUGCAAGGGUUAGUUUUCUGAUGACCAUCAACGCAUCUCCUUCAACACAUAUUUCGCGAAAACCCAUUUCUUUUGCCAUGGUGAUAGCCUGUAAACAUGCCUUUGCUUUAGCCGUUGUUGGAUCUGUAAUAUUCUCCCAUGGAUAAGUACACGAUGCCAUAGCCAAACCAUCUUUAUUACGCGUAACUAUACUUGACACUGAUGAAUAAUGGUUCUGAUUAUAGGACGUAUCAAAAUUGAUUUUUAUGAUAUCUCUCCUAGGUGGUUGCAACAAAAUAUUUUUUAUCUCGUUUCUGCUUUUCAUAACUCCUCAUAUGUGUGUUAAUUCUGCAUAAUAUGCGUUGAUAAAACCCACAGUAACACACGCUAGCACCCUUUUGCCCUCAUGCAAUAUUCUGAUUCUGUUGUACAAAUAGCCGAUAAAUGUAUAGUUCGAAUUUCGCAUUCCUCAUCAGUGAUAUUUCCAAAUUCAGUCACUAACCACUGUAUCCAACUUGUUUCACUCUUGCAUGUUGAAUCCCGAAAGAGAUGACUCACCGUCUCCUCUUCUUCUUGACACACUGGACAAGUCGUGUUUGCCACCAGUUUCAGAACUUUCAGAUUUUUCAAGACCGGCAUAAAUUCAUUAGCAACUUUCCAUAGAUGUAUUCUGAUCUUGUUUGGUACCUUUAUUUCUCAAAUUUUUUUUGUAAAAUUUAGAUAGAAGAUUAGAUUGUAUGUUGGUACCCUCUGCUGUAUUCAGCCAACUAUAUCCAGUUUUAGCUGUAUAAUCUCCUGUAUUAUCUCCCCUCCAAGUUAUAACGUCUUGUGGUGCACUACUCGCCAGCAGGAUUGAGACUAUCUUUUGCAUUUGCUCAUCCCUAAAUAAUAAACGAUUUUCCUCUUGCUUCCAGGUAACAAAGUCUCUUUCAAUUAAAUUUGAUACUGUGGAAUAUCUUAUAUCAAUUUGCUGACAUUGUAUUCUUCCAUCUCCAGCUCCCAGUAAGCAGACAUCAUUCCAGAUAUUAACACUCUUCCCAUUCCCGAUUCUCCAGCCAAUCCUAUCCUCAAGAAGGUAUCUGGCACUCCAUAUGCUUCUUCAGGUGUAUGAAGGGUAAGAACCAAUAUUAGCACUCAUAAAUUCCCCUGGGGAAAUAUUUCGCUUUCAUAACUCGUGCUAACAAACAAGUAAUAAUUUUCCGUCCCUGCUUUACUAACAGGGCCAUAUUAAAAAAUGCUAAGUUUUUAAGACCCAACCGUCCCUUUGAUUUGGGGAUACACAUAUCACUCCACUUACACCAUUGAAUUCUUUUAUUCUUUUUGGGAUUCCGCCACCAUAAUUUGCACAUAAUAUUUUCAAACUCAUUAGAUAAAGAAACUGGUAACUUGAAACAUUGCAUUGCAUAAAUCGGAACAGCUUGUAAUGAGGAUUUGAGAAAUACCUCUUUACCUCUUGCUGAUAAGAAGCAACCAAUCCAAUUGUUUAUUAGCUUGCUGAAUCGUUCUUUUGUCUCAAUAAAAGCCCUUUUUUUUC